rnacentral:rRNA from 1 species
UACAGAGGGUGCGAGCGUUGUUCGGAAUUAUUGGGCGUAAAGGGCGCGUAGGCGGUGCGGUAAGUCACCUGUGAAAUCUCCUGGCUCAACUGGGAGCUUGCAGGCGAAACUGCCGUGCUGGAGUGUGGGAGAGGUGCGUGGAAUUCCUGGUGUAGCGGUGAAAUGCGUAGAUAUCGGGAGGAACACCUGUGGCGAAAGCGGCUCACUGGACCAUAACUGACGCUGAUGCACGAAAGCUGGGGGAGCAAACAGG